GACGGAGGGUGCUAGCGUUGUUCGGAAUUAUUGGGCGUAAAGGGCUCGUAGGCGGUUUGUCGCGUCGGGAGUGAAAUCCACUGGCUUAACUGGUGGCUUGCUUUCGAUACGGGCAGACUGGAGGUAUGCAGGGGGAGAACGGAAUUCCUGAUGUAGCGGUGAAAUGCGCAGAUAUCAGGAGGAACACCGGUGGCGAAGGCGGGUCUCUGGGCAGUAACUGACGCUGAGGAACGAAAGCGUGGGUAGCGAACAGG
rnacentral:rRNA from 1 species